AAAACGGGUGGUAAUGCCGGAUGCUCCGACUCCUCGCAUGGGGUGUCGGGAAAGAUUUCAUCGGUAUGGGAUGGGGUCGCGUCCUAUCAGGUAGUCGGCGGGGUAACGGCCCACCGAGCCUACGACGGGUAGCCGGCCUGAGAGGGCGACCGGCCACAUUGGGACUGAGAUACGGCCCAGACUCCUACGGGAGGCAGCAGUGGGGAAUAUUGCACAAUGGGCGCAAGCCUGAUGCAGCGACGCCGCGUGCGGGAUGACGGCCUUCGGGUUGUAAACCGCUUUUGAUCGGGAGCAAGCCUUCGGGUGAGUGUACCUUUCGAAUAAGCACCGGCUAACUACGUGCCAGCAGCCGCGGUAAUACGUAGGGUGCAAGCGUUAUCCGGAAUUAUUGGGCGUAAAGGGCUCGUAGGCGGUUCGUCGCGUCCGGUGUGAAAGUCCAUCGCUUAACGGUGGAUCUGCGCCGGGUACGGGCGGGCUGGAGUGCGGUAGGGGAGACUGGAAUUCCCGGUGUAACGGUGGAAUGUGUAGAUAU
rnacentral:rRNA from 1 species